rnacentral:piRNA from 1 species
UGCAAUAAAGUUUGUUUUGGCAG